rnacentral:rRNA from 1 species
GACGAACGCUGGCGGCGUGCCUAAUACAUGCAAGUCGAGCGAAUGAAUGGGAGCUUGCUCCCUGACAUUAGCGGCGGACGGGUGAGUAACACGUGGGCAACCUGCCCUGCAGAUGGGGAUAACUCCGGGAAACCGGGGCUAAUACCGAAUAAUCAGUUCCUCCGCAUGGAGGAACUCUGAAAGACGGUUUCGGCUGUCACUGCAGGAUGGGCCCGCGGCGCAUUAGCUAGUUGGUGGGGUAAUGGCCUACCAAGGCGACGAUGCGUAGCCGACCUGAGAGGGUGAUCGGCCACACUGGGACUGAGACACGGCCCAGACUCCUACGGGAGGCUG